AACGAACGCUGGCGGCAGGCUUAACACAUGCAAGCCGAACGAGAUCUUCGGAUCCAGUGGCAGACGGGUGAGGAACACGUGGGAACAUCCCUUUCAGUUCGGAAUAACGUUGGGAAACUAACGCUAAUACCGGAUACGUCCUUCGGGAGAAAGAUCUAUCGCUGAAAGAUUGGCCCGCGUCUGAUUAGCUAGUUGGUGAGGUAAUGGCUCACCAAGGCUACGAUCAGUAGCUGAUCUGAGAGGAUGAUCAGCCACAUUGGGACUGAGACACGGCCCAAACUCCUACGGGAGGCAGCAGUGGGGAAUAUUGGACAAUGGGCGCAAGCCUGAUCCAGCCAUGCCGCGUGAGUGAUGAAGGCCCUAGGGUUGUAAAGCUCUUUCACUGGGGACGAUAAUGACGGUAUCCACAGAAGAAGCCCCGGCUAACUCCGUGCCAGCAGCCGCCGUAA
rnacentral:rRNA from 1 species